AGGCGAACGAGGGGAAGUGAAACAUCUAAGUACCCUUAGGAAAAGAAAUCAACCGAGAUUUCCCUAGUAGCGGCGAGCGAACGGGAAUUAGCCCUUAAGCUAAUUGUAAGCCAGUGGAAUGUGUUGGAAAGCACAACGGUACAAGGUGAUAGUCCUGUACACAAAGGCGAACUUUAAGUGAAAUCGAGUAGGUCGGGACACGUGUUAUCUUGACUGAAUAUGGGGGGACCAUCCUCCAAGGCUAAAUACUCCUGACUGACCGAUAGUGAACCAGUACCGUGAGGGAAAGGCGA
rnacentral:rRNA from 1 species